CCUAUGAUAAGAUUCAAUAUCAAUCAAGUGAGCAAUUACAGUUAUGGAGAAGCUGAGGCAUUGACUGAUGAUAUUGAAGAAGAGAGUCAGAUUUUUUGGGAGGUCUUCAGGAUCAAAAAGAUUAUUGAUAAUUGUCAAGAUGAGGUUUAUCUUCAUAACUUCUACUGAAUCUUUCUCUUUUAUGUGAAUUUAAUUUUCAUUUCUGUA